rnacentral:rRNA from 1 species
GACAAACGCUGGCGGCGUGCCUAAUACAUGCAAGUCGAACGACGAAAGCCUUCGGGCAGGUAAGAGUGGCGCACGGGCGAGGAACACGUAGAUAAUCUGCCCUUCAGUGGGGAAUAACUCUCCGAAAGGAGUGCUAAUACCGCAUAAGACCACAAGCUCUGCGGAGUAAGGGGUUAAAGGAUUUAUUCGCUGAAGGAUGAGUCUGCGUCCGAUUAGCUAGUUGGUGAGGUAAUGGCUUACCAAGGCAAUGAUCGGUAGAUGGUCUGAGAGGAUGAUCAUCCGCACUGGAACUGAUACACGGUCCAGACUCCUACGGGAGGCAGCAGUAGGGAAUAUUGCACAAUGGGGGAAACCCUGAUGCAGCAACGCCGCGGGAGUGAUGAAGGCUCUAGGGUCGUAAAGCUCUGUCGUAUGGGAAGAAAAAAAUGACGGUACCAUACAAGAAAGGACCGGCCAACUUCGUGCCAGCCGCCGCAGUAA